CCUACGGGAGGCAGCAGUGAGGAAUAUUGGUCAAUGGUCGGGAGACUGAACCAGCCAAGCCGCGUGAGGGAUGAAGGUACAGAGUAUCGUAAACCUCUUUUGUCAGGGCACAAAGGCGGGGACGUGUCCCCGGAUGAGUGUACCUGAAGAAAAAGCAUCGGCUAACUCCGUGCCAGCAGCCGCGGUAAUACGGAGGAUGCGAGCGUUAUCCGGAUUUAUUGGGUUUAAAGGGUGCGCAGGCGGUCUGUUAAGUCAGCGGUCAAAGCCCGGGGCUCAACCCCGGCCCGCCGUUGAAACUGGCAGGCUCGAGUUGGAGAGAAGUAUGCGGAAUGCGCGGUGUAGCGGUGAAAUGCAUAGAUAUCGCGCAGAACUCCGAUUGCGAAGGCAGCAUGCCGGCUCCACACUGACGCUGAGGCACGAAAGCGUGGGUAUCGAACAGGAUUAGAUACCCCGGUAGUC
rnacentral:rRNA from 1 species